CACCUUCUAAAUACACACACACACAGUCAGACACAAACACACACACACACACACAGUCAGACACAUACACAAACACACACACACACAGUCAGACACAAACACACACACACAGUCAGACACACACACAACACACACACACACAGUCAGACACAUACACAGUCAGACACAAACACACACACACACACACACAGUCAGACACACACACACACACACACACAUACACAGUCAGACACAAACACACACACACA